GUGUUUGCUUCGGCAGCACAUAUACUAAAAUUGGAACGAUACAGAGAAGAUUAGCAUGGCCCCUGCGAAAGGAUGACACACAAAUUCGUGAAAAAGAAGAAAAGCAC
rnacentral:snRNA from 1 species